UACGUAGGGACCGAGCGUUGGCCGGAAUCAUUGGGCGUAAAGAGCGUGUAGGCGGCUUGUUAAGUCUUGCGUGAAAUCUCGGGGCUCAACCCCGAGCGGUCGUGAGAAACUGGCAGGCUAGAGUGCGGGAGAGGAGAGUGGAAUUCCUGGUGUAGCGGUGAAAUGCGCAGAUAUCAGGAAGAACACCCGUGGCGAAGGCGGCUCUCUGGAACGCAACUGACGCUGAGACGCGAAAGCGUGGGGAGCAAACAGG
rnacentral:rRNA from 1 species